AAUGAAGUGCCUGAUUUUAGGAUCAUUUUGAUAGAAUGAAACAAGUAAUAAUUUACCUUCAUUA
rnacentral:tRNA from 1 species